UCCAGCUACCAUACCUAAACACUUCUUUCUGAAAUAAUAAGAAGUUGAUUUGUUUGAUAAAUUCUAUUAUGGAAAUCAAAAUUCAGAUAAUAAAUCAUAUAAAUAUAAACUUCAUGAUGCUACACCCCUCAGUGAAAACUGUGUACAUUGCCCGAAAUGCAGAUGUCACAAAACAUCAAGCCCAAUUUAGAGUUGUAUCUCAACCAUUCCCUAUUAAAUUUCUGUUUUUGUAUGGAAGAUUUUGCAAUUUGGACAAAAUCAGAUGUUUGAGCAGGUGGGGUUGACUGUAAAGCCAAACAUAGUUAUUUUUUUAAUUUCAGUUGCGCUCGCCCCAACGGUCACACCGUAAUCAUAUUAAGUAUUGUUUCAUCAAUCUUCAUUUUUUAAAGUGUUAAAGGUCAAGUACGGUGAUUUUCCUAAAACUUGACUUUUACACAGAAAAAUGUCUGUCGUACACUUAUGGAUUAAUUUCCAUGGCAAUUUUGAUAAAAAUCACUUGGCAUGAAGUACACGGCGCUAUCAAACUUUUACCUGAGUGAUCGAUAAAUGUGUUGUGACGUGAGUUAUCGAUCGUAGCUUAUGACGUCAUCUGAGACAACUUUCGAUUGCAUUGAUAGGGUUUUAUAGUGUUUACAUACAAAAGUCCUGUAUUUAUGGUACAAUGCGCUGCUUUGAACUGCAAUGUGAAAUCGGGACAGGGAUUAAGUAUGUUUUUUUCCCCAAAAGACCCUAAAUUUCGAAGAAUUUGGACACUGAAACUGAAAAGAGACACUGAGAUUUGUGACAAGCCACGAGGAUCAGUGAGUGACACUUUAAUUAACGAGGAUCAGGUUUCCAUCAACCUCGACGCAUCAUCCUGUUUGACUAUAAACAAAAUGCAAAGUGAUGAUUAACUGGACAUCCUACAAAACAAGUGGAGGGAUGUAUUUUAAUUAUAUAAAAAGUUCAACCCAAUUUAAGGGGGGAUGCAAUCCACCCCUCUCUACUUCCACUGAAUGCUUUAAUGCGACAUUGUAUUCAAUGGGUUUGCGAUUGCACAUAAAAAUUAAUGUCACCCAUUACCUAGUUCAAAUUGAUUUUAUUUCUUUUAUUAAAUGAAAUAUCUUUCGAAUAUUGUCGUACUCAUACUAUAUUUAUAAGGGACUCAUCAUUUCAUUUCUUCACUAUAUAUAUUUUGAAAAAAUAAAAUAUAGUAAAAAUGGAAAUGAAUUCAAUUUAAAAAACCCAUUUUGAUACAACCUUAUUUAUUAGGUCAGUCCAAUUUCCAAAGCUUUUUCUUCAAGUUCAUUAUGAAAACAAGUACAAGUUUUUCCUUUUCCUAAUAUGGUUUUAAGUACUACAGACUGUACAUUAAUUAAUAUAUCAUGAAUCAUUAAGGCAAAAUUUCACACCUCAAAAUGCUACAAUUCGUUAACUUUGUGCCAUAAUAUUUCAAUUUCGCAUUUGACGUGUGUUGUGAAGAAAUUACUAAUAGGCCUAAUUUACAUUUUAUGAUAUUGUAUCUACAUGUAGAUGUUUUUCUUUUUUAAAAGGGGGGGGGAGGGGGUUACAAAUAACGUUGUGCACAAUAAGGUUUUUUUUUCUUUUGUCUUUUGUUGUUCUUUUUUCAAAAAGGCAUUUUUCUAUUAAAUAUAUAUCUAGGUAAACACAUUAUAAUCUGAAUCUAAUCAAUCUCAUACCAGUAAAUUCCAUUUAAAAAAUACAAACGUGAGAGUCAAUCUAGUUAAAUACGCUCACAAUCGCUACAAUAGAGUAUACGGCGAGUAUCUAUGAAGUCUGAUUUUGAUUAGCCUAGAUUGUGUAAAAUACAAAGGUUAUCUUUUGAUAGAACAUUUUUUCCAAUAGCAUUCCCACUUUUCUAUGGACUGGCUCGGUAAAUAAUUUCUAACUGAGAUUCCUAUGAGAUAUUUGUCGAACAUAGACUAUUGGAUGGUUUCGAAAUGGGUGCAGCUGGUACAAAUAUAAAAGGUUGAAUCCCUAAACUCAAGUGUAUCUACGGUACUUCACCGUCACUAUCCACGGUGUUGCUAAAACUGGCAAUUUCUCACAGAAAUUAAAACGAUGAUAUACAGGCGUAAACAACUACAAUUGUCUCAGAUGACGUCAUAAGAAAGGGCGAUAAUUCCUUCAUUCAUUUCUAUAAACAACGAUUUUGGAAUAGGUAUUUUGCGCAUUUACCUGGAUUUUAAAAAAAUAAUAAACACAUCAAUAAACUUUUCAAAACGGGUUUUAAUGAAUUAUAAACUUUAUUUUCAAAUCUAUUUUUAUUAUGCUUGACCUUUAAAUAAACAUUUGGGGGUGUGGGUUGGUGAUGUUUUCAUAACAAUAACACACACACUGGUCAUCUCUGGUCCCUGCCUAUGCUUAUUAACACCUGUCAGCUCUGCUUCCUGUGCUCAGGUAAUGCCCAGCUACCUUUUAUUCUUAAUCUGUCCAGGUACAUGUAUUAACAGGUCUGUCUCCAAUUGUCAAGCUAUACUAUAGAACUGUGAACCUCUGGUAGGUACUAAAGAUAUUUUGGUCAGUUUCAGCGAACCAAAUAUAUUAAACUUAUGAAAUUACAUUUGAUUAUCUAAUGAAAAAUAUUAAUCAACAAUUGAUCCAUAUAAUGAAAAGACUUAAUUCAUCUUUAUCUUCAAGAAAUGUACAAAAAUAGGAAAUUGGACAGUUUAAAUCACAAUUGACCAGUAUUGACCACUUGGGGAAUAUAUAUUGACCGGGACGGUUAAAACCACUGGUUAAAACCGGGGGCAGUUUUAACCGCCCAACCCUGGCCUUCACUGUGACUUGUUUAACCUUUGACGCAUGGCUUGUUCAUACAUGCCAACUUUCCCGAUUUGUGCGGGAUUUUCCCGAUUUGAAGCAGUUGAAAAAGCAAAUCCUGAUAUCCCGAUCGGGAUUGCAAAAAUACCCCGAAAUCCCGAUUUUCUAAAAAUAUCUCCCAUUUUAUGACAACAAACCCCCAUUUCCAACCGGAAUUUGAAAUCCCGCGUCAUUUCUGAACUGGCCAAUCAGAAAUCGGGACAAUAGUCAGCCAUUGCUGUUUACCUGUGUCGCAUGGUAUCGGAGUGAUGUAAUUUACUUGGUCUGCCCGUGUCGGGGUGUUUAUUGGACAGUGCGAAGCAUGUUUUGAUAGUAAUUAAUCGGGAAGACGGAUUUCAAAUUGACAUAUCCUUUACACAAACGUGAAUGACAAUGAUAAUAGUGUCACCACCAAACAAUCGGACAUUCCCGAUUUUUGCCUUUCGCUGACAGCAUCCAAAAUAUGCAAUAUUAAAGAUGUCAUGGGUGCAAAGGUUUUGUUCGCAAACUUCAUAGCAGGGCAGAUCACUCCUUUUCUGGUUGCAAUGCAGAUUGUUCCACCAGACUCUGCAAGCCCAUGAAAUUGUUUACAGACAAGCAAGAUCACCUUUGUAGUCGUACCUAAAUGCAUGUGCUUUAAUUUAAAUUUUGAUAUAUAGACCAGCCAAUGUAUAUAUGGUGUAAAAGGAUGCAACUUUAAGUAUUAUUUGAUAAUAUGUAUGUGAUUUGUUGGAGAGGAUUUUUUGCUGAAUAGAUGAUUUUAAUAAAAUACUUAUCUAUAUC